rnacentral:rRNA from 1 species
AACGAACGCUGGCGGCGCGCCUAAUACAUGCAAGUCGAGCGAGAAGACGUAGCAAUACGUUUGUAAAGCGGCGAACGGGUGAGGAAUACAUGGGUAACCUACCCUCGAGUGGGGAAUAACUAACCGAAAGGUUAGCUAAUACCGCAUACGGCUCCUGGUCUGCGGAUCGGGAGAGAAAGCGAUACCGUGGGUAUCGCGCUCUUGGAUGGGCUCAUGUCCUAUCAGCUUGUUGGUGAGGUAACGGCUCACCAAGGCUUCGACGGGUAGCUGGUCUGAGAGGACGAUCAGCCACACUGGCACUGCGACACGGGCCAGACUCCUACGGGAGGCAGCAGUAAGGAAUAUUGCGCAAUGGGCGACAGCCUGACGCAGCGACGCCGCGUGGGGGAUGAAGGUCUUCGGAUUGUAAACCCCUUUCGGCAGGGAAGAUGGAACGGGUAACCGUUCGGACGGUACCUGCAGAAGCAGCCACGGC